AACACUUCUGGAAGCGUAGCAAAGGAGAUAUCUGCUCAGUUUACAACAAGAGUGCAAAAACUGUGCGAAGACAUUUUCUCAGGUUUAAAUUUGCAUCCUGGAACCGAUGGCGUUGUUCGAAUAUUGUCGAUCUAGACCAGAGAGUCCUUGUCCGUACUUUCUUGAUUUGAAGAUCUAUAAAUUAGAUUCUUGAUCUAAAGACUUAUAGAGUAUGUCUUUAAGCUUGCUUGUUUUUUGAUUAUUAUAGCUUAAAUAUGAAUGGUUCAUUAUGUUAAUUAUCAAAUUAUUGACUUGUUGAUUAGUUUUAAGAUUUUAUUUUGAACUUAUGGAAGAUUUUAAAUGAGGGAAGUUAGAUUUAUUUGGAGUAACCCCAUUGUUUCUCUUUAGGGUUGGUUUUCUUUCACUGGGUUGUUUUCCCCUAUCAAUUUGUAAUUUGUGGUUUUUCAGAAAUUUUUACUUUCAUAGGCCAUUAUUUCGUUGAUUUAUUUGUUGUGUGUAGUAUUUGUAUAUAGAAAUAAUGCUCAUAUUCUUGAGAAAAUGUAUAUGAUGGUAUUUCGCACCUAUAUUCUUUAGUUAUUUAAGGUCAUAGCUAGCACACAGUGUGACAGCAGUGUCUUGUGCUUUUGCUUUUGGUUGUGUGGCCGUAUCUAUAGCAGUUUUUGCAUGUAACGGAAUUGAUAUGAACAUGAGGCUUUAUGUUUUAAAGACUGAAGAUUUUAAAAUAUUCUAUAGUAACGUAUUUCUUUCAAAAGUAAGAGUAUAGUUUCACUGUGGACCCUCAUUAAUUUUACCUUCCAUCUUAUUACCUUCAGCGGUUUGAAUCUUUUUAUUUAUUCUAUUGGUAUUCAAAAUUUUGCGAAAAGAUAGAUUCAUUAAUGAUUUUUGUCACAUCUAUGUUAAUUCUGUCUUCCAUAUCUUGUUUGUUUAGUUCUCCUAAGUUAACAAACACAUUUGCAUGGUCCUUGUUUAAAAAUAUUAUCUUUGAUAGCCAAAAGACCUGGAUUUCAUGUCUAUAACACUAAUUUUGAGUGAACUUAUUAUUUACAUCAAUAUUAGGUUUUUCUUUUUGUGUUUGUUUUUUAUUUUGACUCCUACUGUUGAAAUAGGAAAGAUGAAGAUAGAAAAACAAUUAGGUCACAUAAUCUCAAAGACAAAUGUGGCCCAGAAUUAUAACAUAACAAUUAAAUGACACAUAUGAGUCAGACCAUUUUCUAAUAAACUACGCUAUAGACAUAAAAAAAUAUGUCUAUCAUAAGAAAUCGAACAAACUUUCUUUUAUCAAAACUAGAUGGAAGGGAUACAAAGAUAGAAUUGGACUUUCUUUAUUACACAUAUUUCAUCAGCUAUGAAUUCAGUACUCUCUGACCAGUAUGCAAAUAAAUAAUUUAUAUGCAACACAUUAAUUUUAUGGAAGUAAUGAGAGAAACUAUAACAGAAAAAAAAAACCAAUAAAAAUAAUCCAGUAUGAUGGUGAGAUGAAUACAAUCAGGCAGUGAGGAAGAACUUCUUAAAAAAAAAAGAAAUGGCUACAUAUUCUAUAUAUGGAAAAUUGGGUUCUUCUGGAAUACACUAAAAAAUUUCAAAUCAAAAUGGAUGAAAGCAAAAAAAGAAUUUAGCAGUAGUUUUUUUUCUUGAAGAGAGCUAGUAGAAAGCACUGAAUGGAAUCUACCUGCCAUGGCAGAUGGUUUCAGAUCCAUCACCAACAAACUCUUCAACAGCUUUGGAGAAAUGUAAAUCAUUCUCAGUUCCAGGACUAUAGACACAGUAUAGACUAUAAAAUGAUAAAAACAUUAUCAGAUAAAUGCAAAUUGCUUCUACUGGACAUUUUCAAUGAACUGUAUCAAUCUCAAGUUAUACUGGAAGCAAAUCUUUUUGCCUAGGCAAAAUAGCAACACCCUAUUAUCAAUAACAAUUUUCUCCUGUAUAUGCAAACUAAAAGACAUAAACAGUCGACUUCUAUGAUAACAUCGGAAUAUCACUCACCACAGCAAAUAAGAGUUCUAUACUAACAGUAUACAGCAACAGUAUGUCUGGAUAUUAAUAGCGUCUUUGACAACGUGCAAAGGCAAAUUCUCUUACAAAUGCUCCUCCAUCUUCGAAUAAAAGGCCAACUUACACACUUCAUUUCCUGUUGGAUGUAUUGAAGACAAGUACAAUUUAUAGGUAGUAAUAAUCUGUAGAAAAACCUACCAAAACUGUAUCAUUCACAAAGAUCUUCCACAGGGAGAGGUGCUAUAUGUCCUCUGCUCUGUAGAGAUGUGUAAAUACGUGCACAGUACAUGUGUAUCAUCUACAACCUACAGAUGAUCUUGUAGUCACUUAAUGUGCGGAUGAUACACUCUAAUAACUAAAAAUACAAAUCGACGAGAAGACAAAACUUUACUUAUUAGAGCAAUUAAAAUAAUUCAAACAAAUCUUCAAGCAAUUAACCUGAAACUAAUACGGAGAAAACCGAAUUAAUAUGGUUUGGAAAUUCUUCUCGGGUGCCACUCAGAACAAAUAUAUAAAUGGAUAACAUUACAAUUUACAGCAAACCAGCAGUUAAAUUUCUGGGAGCUUAUAUAGAUAGCAGACUGAAUUUCAAAACUCAUAUAGAAUAUGAGUAUAUAUGAAUAUACAACAAUACAAUAAACUUGAUAUAAAAUUUUUACGUGGUGAAGCUAUUAUUCAAAUAAUAGGAUAACUACCAUAUUAAGACCAAUCAAGAAGUCAACCCAGUUAAGAAAGUCCCAAAUAAAAUUAUCAUUCGCAAUCAAGGAAUUCUUAAAAGAUCCGCAAAUCAAGCUGCUCAAAAUCAUAACGUUUCCUAAAAAUUAAUAACAUCAAAAUUUAAAAGGCAACAGGAACGAAGAAAUCUAAUUGUAAGAAUUGGUUACUGAGUUGUGAUCCUCAAUAUAUCAAAUUAUUUUUUGUACCAAGUUAUUCUUCUUUUGUAUACAUAUAAGUUAUACAGUAUGUAAGAAUAAAACCAAGGCUAGAUUUCAAGUUAAUCAAUAAAAAAAAAAGAUAAAUUUUUAUUUGCAAAAAACCUAA